CGCGUAGGUGGUAGUGUAAGUCUGGGGUGGAAUCCCAGGGCUUAACCCUGGAACUGCCUUGGAAACUGUAUUACUUGAGUCAGUGAGGGGAGGGUAGAAUUCCUGGUGUAGCGGUGAAAUGCGUAGAUAUCAGGAGGAAGGCCUGUGGCGAAGGCGGCCCUCUGGCGCUGGACUGACACUGAGGCGCGAAAGCGUGGGGAGCAAACAGGAUUAGAUACCCUGGUAGUCCACGCCCUAAACGGUGGGCACUAGGUGUAGGGCUCGUAAGGGUUCUGUGCCGAAGGGAAACCAUUAAGUGCCCCGCCUGGGGAGUACGGCCGCAAAGGUUGAA
rnacentral:rRNA from 1 species